AUUGGACCAUCUCCAACAAAUGUGUCACUUUUCACAUGUUCUGCAGACAUUGAUUGCCACGUAUUGCUUUAUCUAAAACGAGGCCACAACAACUUAUGUCCUGAGGUUUCCGCCCGUCCAGUACCUGGAAGUACUGUGCACAUUUUUAGAACUCCUGACUGUGAUAACUGUUCCGUGGAUGUUCUAAUCCAUACUUCUAUCUCCCGCCCAACACAGAGGGCACAGCUUUGUGUCGAGGCAUCGGACUACAACUCUGGACUGGACGACCUAAGAUGUUACUUUGUGGAUUACGAAAUACAUGCAUCAAGACGCCAGACCCUGAGUGUUACACACACUACCACAUCAACAUCUCGACGAACGCUUCAGGUUAACCUUGGAAACGUGAUUGGAUAAUCUAAGUAGUAAAAAUAUAAACAGAUUGUCAAUGAAAUUAAUGAUGACACUUUAAGGAUUUGAACACUUGUCGUCUAUAACAAGGAAAGAUGUCAUUAAAAUGGAUUUAUAGCUUUUACAUG